CCAAUAGCGUAUAUUAAGGUUGCUGCGGUUAAAAAGCUCGUAGUUGAAUUUCGGGAUUGAUGCAUUGGUCGUGCCUUAAGGGGUAUGAACUGGUGUGGUCAAUUUCUUACCUUCUGGUGAAUUGUGAUGUCCUCCUUAAUUGGGUGUUUCAAUGAACUAGGACUUUUUACUUUGAAAAAAUUAGAGUGUUUAAAGCAGGCAUUAUUUGCUUGAAUACAUUAGCAUGGAAUAAUAAAAUAGGACAAUGAUUCUAUUUUGUUGGUUUCUAGGAUCACUGUAAUGAUUAAUAGGGAUAGUUGGGGGCAUUAGUAUUCAAUUGUCAGAGGUGAAAUUCUUGGAUUAAUUGAAGACUAACUAUUGCGAAAGCAUUUGUCAAGGAUAUUUUCAUUAAUCAAGAACGAAAGUUAGGGGAUCGAAGACGAUUAGGUACGUCGUAGUCUUAACCAUAAACUAUGCCGACUAGGAAUCAGACAACGUUAAAUUUUUAAUGACUUGUUUGGCACCUUACG
rnacentral:rRNA from 1 species